AGUUAGAGAUAAAUUUGAGAAACACACUGAGAUAGCCGUGAUGCAUAGAGAGAGCCAUGAUGCCCACUGAGAUAGCCGUGAUGCAUAGAGAGAGCCAUGAUGCACACUGAGAUAGCCGUGAUGCACAGAGAGAGCCAUGAUGGCUUUGAUGUUUCAUUGACGAAUUGUUUUGCAAGGUACCGUGGAUUGCUAAUUGCGGGCUUAGGUGGAAGAGUUGGUGUUGAGGAUUUAAUUUAAUUUAUUUGGAGAUGUUAUAUUUUUUUUAUUUAAGGAAAUUGAUUUGUAUUAAUAACAUGAUAUUUCUUUUUGAAA